GGGGAAUUAGCUCAGUUGGUAGAGCGUGGCGAUCGCACCGCCAAGGCCAGGGGUUCGAAUCCCCUAUUCUCCA
rnacentral:tRNA from 1 species